CUCAUUUCCCUUUUUUUGUCUAUAAAUCUUCCACCACGUGGCUCUGCUGGAGUCUCUUAAUCUGCUGUGAUUCUGGGGGCUGCCCAAUUCGUGAAAUCGUUCACUGCUCAAUUAAACUCCUUUAAAUUUAAUUCAGCUUAAGUUUUUCUUUUAUAACUGGUAAACAACUGGAGACCAGGUAGGGUCUAAAUGCUUUAUUUAUCAGCUUAGUCUCCACCUUAGAAGUGACAAACAUUCUCCGUUUGGCCAAACUUCGGGCUCCUGGGCCUUCUCCUAGGACCAUCUGUGCAUCUUCUUGUAAAACUCAGUUUCAGCAAAGAACCUUGUUAAGGCAGUGUAGUGAGAAUCCCUCACCCUUGAUGGGGUUCCUCAUCCUCCACCACCCCCAGGUGAUGUCUGCUAUCCUGGCCUAUCUUCGUCUAGAAUCCUGUUGUGUUGGUUUAGCCAGAAUCUCCCUUGCCCCUGAUAUUUCCUCUUAGUAAUUUUCCAUCCACUGACCGACUUCCACCCCUUGGCUAUAAAUUCCUACUUACUCAUACUGUAUUUCUAUUUGAACAGGUAAGGGAGAAGGGAAGAGUACGUAGGACACACUCAAAUGCCUUAUCCUCUAAAAAUCACUCAGGAAUCUUUAGCCUUAAUUUCCCAGCUUUUGUCCUUUACACAGUUACAGAUUUUCCUUGCUCAUAAACGCUGUAGGUCUUCCCUGCUUAAUUGGAAACUCCUUGCUCACAAAAUGAUUCACCCCCAUUCCUAGAACCGGGCUUGGCAAAGCAUAGGCUCCCAAUAAUGAAUGAAUGGAUUUAUAGAAGAAAAGGUUUUUUCUUUUUCAGCUGUUACUACAAUGGUCAACAAUAACGACAAAAACCACUUAAAGUUGGACAGACGUCUACUGCAACCAACUCUCA
rnacentral:lncRNA from 10 species